rnacentral:rRNA from 1 species
AAAAGUUCUGCAGGCACAAAGGUUUGGUCCUGGCCUUAUCAUCAACUAUUACUUAACUUACACAUGCAAGUCUCCGCACACCCGUGAGAACGCCCUUUACCCCUUCACCAGGAUAAGGAGCUGGUAUCAGGCACAGACACCUCUUGCCCAUAACACCUAGCCACGCCACGCCCUCAAGGGUAUUCAGCAGUGAUAAACAUUGUUCAUAAGCGCCAGCUUGACUCAGUCAAAGUAAAUAGAGCCGGCCAAUCCGGUGCCAGCCGCCGCGGCUACACCGUUGGGCUCAAGUUGACAAAUAUCGGCGUUAAGCGUGAUUAAAGUGAAACACAAGAUUAGAAUUGAAUUUUAACCAAGUCGUGACACACUUGUUAUAAGGAAACACAAAAACGAAAGUUAUUCUAACACAACCACUUGAACCCACGACAGCUAGGACACAAACUGGGAUUAGGUACCCCACUAUGCCUAGCCGUAAAAUAUUAACUUACACUUAAAACCGCCAGGGAAUUACGAGCCCAAGCUUAAAACCCAAAGGACUUGACGGUGUCCCACCCACCUAGAGGAGCCUGUUCUAUAAUCGAUUCUCCCCGAUAAACCUCACCACUUCUAGCCUACUCAGCCUGUAUACCUCCGUCGUAAGCUUACCAUAUGAACGCUAACUAGUGAGCUUAAAGAUCUAUUCAUCAACACGUCAGGUCAAGGUGCAGCUUACGAAGCGGGAAGCAAUGGGCUACAAUUUCUAACAUAGAACACACGAAAGACUACAUGAAACACAGUCAUGAAGGCGGAUUUAGCAGUAAAAAGAAAAUAGAGAGUUCUUUUUAAUUAGGCGCUGGGACGCGUACACACCGCCCGUCACCCUCUUCAAACGCCCACAAACGUUAAUUAACACCUAACCGCACAAUAGAAGAGGUAAGUCGUAACACGGUAAGCGUACUGGAAAGUGCGCUUGGACUA